rnacentral:rRNA from 1 species
GGACUACAAGGGUAUCUAAUCCCGUUUGCUCCCCACGCUUUCGCGCCUCAGCGUCAGUCACCGUCCAGAAGGCCGCCUUCGCCACCGGUGUUCCUCCCGAUCUCUACACAUUUCACCGCUACACCGGGAAUUCCACCUUCCUCUCCGGGACUCAAGAGAAGCAGUCUCGGGCGCCGUUCCUCGGUUGGGCCGAGGGAUUUCACACCCGACUUACCUCCCCGCCUACGCGCCCUUUACGCCCAGUGAUUCCGAGCAACGCUUGCCACCUCCGUAUUACCGCGGCUGCUGGCAC